rnacentral:rRNA from 1 species
ACGGGUGAGUAACACGUGGGCAACCUGCCCUUGAGACUGGGAUAACUUUGGGAAACCGGAGCUAAUACCGGAUAAUAUAAGGAACCUCCUGGUUCCUUGUUGAAAGAUGGUUUCGGCUAUCACUUAAGGAUGGGCCCGCGGCGCAUUAGCUAGUUGGUGAGGUAACGGCUCACCAAGGCGACGAUGCGUAGCCGACCUGAGAGGGUGAUCGGCCACACUGGGACUGAGACACGGCCCAGACUCCUACGGGAGGCAGCAGUAGGGAAUCUUCCACAAUGGACGAAAGUCUGAUGGAGCAACGCCGCGUGAGUGAUGAAGGCCUUCGGGUCGUAAAGCUCUGUUGUUAGGGAAGAACAAGUGCGAGAGUAACUGCUCGUACCUUGACGGUACCUAACCAGAAAGCCACGGCUAACUACGUGCCAGCAGCCGCGGUAAUACGUAGGUGGUAAGCGUUAUCCGGAAUUAUUGGGCGUAAAGCGCGCGCAGGUGGUUUCUUAAGUCUGAUGUGAAAGCCCACGGCUCAACCGUGGAGGGUCAUUGGAAACUGGGGAACUUGAGUGCAGAAGAGGAAAGUGGAAUUCC